rnacentral:rRNA from 1 species
ACUCCUACGGGAGGCAGCAGUGGGGAAUUUUGGACAAUGGGCGAAAGCCUGAUCCAGCAAUGCCGCGUGAGUGAAGAAGGCCUUCGGGUUGUAAAGCUCUUUUGUCAGGGAAGAAACGGUGAAAGCUAAUAUCUUUUGCUAAUGACGGUACCUGAAGAAUAAGCACCGGCUAACUACGUGCCAGCAGCCGCGGUAAUACGUAGGGUGCAAGCGUUAAUCGGAAUUACUGGGCGUAAAGCGUGCGCAGGCGGUUUUGUAAGUCUGAUGUGAAAUCCCCGGGCUCAACCUGGGAAUUGCAUUGGAGACUGCAAGGCUAGAAUCUGGCAGAGGGGGGUAGAAUUCCACGUGUAGCAGUGAAAUGCGUAGAUAUGUGGAGGAACACCGAUGGCGAAGGCAGCCCCCUGGGUCAAGAUUGACGCUCAUGCACGAAAGCGUGGGGAGCAAACAGGAUUAGAAACCCGUGUAGUCCCA